AAGUGGUGGGCACUGGCCCAACUUGGUUCUAGGGCUCUCGCCGUCCCUCGCUUUGGUGGCUGUGGCCGUGUUCCAGCCUGCGGCCAAGCAGAGUUUCAUCAUAGAGUUUUUGGUGGCCAAGGAUGGUGGCAACGGUGGGAGUCCUGGCAGCGUGGGCGUGGGGGUGGGCUCGGGCUCCCAUCCUCUGGCUGUGGCUGCCUUAGAGUAACUGCUCAGGCUCGUGGCACUCAACUGCCUUCAUCCCAUUUUGGUCGAAAUAGCCUUGGUGAGUGGCUUCCCUGCCGCAGGGUGCGGGCCAUUCCCUCUAGGAACCACGGGAGCUGGUGUAGCCAGAGACCAUUAAUCACUCAGUGCUGAUAGUGCACAGGCACACCAGCUGGGCUCCUCCUCUCCGCAAUCCCCUCACUCAGCGCUCAGCUUCAGGACCCUCUCCACUUCUAUCCCUGGGGACUUUGGAACCGCUUCUUUGGCUACUGCUUCCAUGGGCUAUCUGAGAGGUGCCUGGUCCCAUGCUGCACGGAAGUGAGACAUCCAGGUGACCACUGUGCUGACAAAGCUGGGAUCACAUUGCCAGUCCACCACUGGGAUCUACUCAGUAGUCACGAGAUUCCCCGAAGCUGGGCCUGCUGGGUUCUGUCAGCGUCCAGCAUCCAUCGACGAGCACCCAGGUGUCUCUGCAUCAUCGCCCUGUGAUGCUUCUAAGUCUCACCCACCAGCAUGCUCCUGCAGCAAGGAGGUCAGGCUUUCCAGAGGGCUGCCUGGGGCUUAAGUCAACGGUGCAGUCAACGGUGAA
rnacentral:lncRNA from 1 species